GUGCUCACUUCAGUAGCACAUAUACUAAAAUUGGAACAACACAGAGAAGAUUAGCAUGUCACCGUGCAAGGAUGAUGCAUAAAUUCAUGAAGUGUUGCAUAUUUUU
ensembl:snRNA U6 U6 spliceosomal RNA